CCUUCCUUCCAUUUCCCAGAAAGUUCAAUAUUAGCUACAGGCAGUUCAAGAGAGGUGGAGAUGCAUACAUUAGUCAGACGUCUACGGGGGUAGUGGUCAAAAUAGUGACUUGUUAAUCUCUCAUCAUGAAUUUUAAAGUAUGAGGAAAACGCCCGACAGCGUAUUUAAGAGGCGGUAUCACCAUCAUCAGUAAGGACAGACUGUUCCUCUGCAAACACUGACGUCUGCAACAGACACUGGCUGGCAGGUGGUAGUGACAGUUGCUCUUUGGGCAAGAAGCUUCUUCUUUGUGUGACGAUGGGGGAGAGCGAGGCAUGCUUAUUUUCACCUGUUGCUCCUGCUGAGACCUGGCUUAAACACUGCCUGUCCACACACUUCAGGCCUAAACACUCACUUGAGGAGGGUUCCCAAAGUGACCACUGUUCAUCUCAGCCAUUUUGCACCAGAAAGAGACUUGUGGUGGCCCUUCUGGUCAUUUUGGCUUUGAUAGUCAUGAUCCUGCUCUUUCUGCUGAAUUAUUAUUGUAUUAUGGUCUGGCACAUGUGUCAGCAUGAAGAGUCUGCUCUGCCAAUGUUUCAAAACACCACACCAGAACUGGACAUUCAGCGCUGAGAUGUUACACAUUGUAUUAUUUUUGUGUUAAUAUUUGGUGCACCCAUCUGGGAUGCAUUUCUAUGGUGUGCUGCUGUGUUUGUUUUUUUUUUUUUUUUUUUUUUUCUUUGUCUUGUUUGGAUGAACUGAAAUAACACUGACAUUUCCAGUGUGAGCUUUUCCAGUGUACUAUAUGUGUGAUUUUAAAAAGGAAAUUAUUCACGUUGUCAAGUUACUCAGUUUUUGAACUUUUAGUUUUGUAUUUAUUUAAAUGAUUUCUUAGGUUUGUCGUUGAAAAUUAAGCCUACCUUAUUUGGCAAAGUCACUGUAUUUAUCCAUUUAUUUAAAUCUGUUAAUCUUUAUCUUGUGAAGCUUGAAAUGUAGUUAAAUACUGUUCAUAAAUCUAUGAUUGUUUAA